rnacentral:rRNA from 1 species
UACGGAGGAUCCGAGCGUUAUCCGGAUUUAUUGGGUUUAAAGGGUGCGCAGGCGGGAUGUUAAGUCGGCGGUGAAAUUUUGCAGCUCAACUGUAAAAGUGCCUUCGAUACUGGCUUUCUUGAGUGUGGAUGAAGUAGGCGGAAUUUGUGGUGUAGCGGUGAAAUGCUUAGAUAUCACGAGGAACUCCGAUUGCGCAGGCAGCUUACUAAACCAUAACUGACGCUCAGGCACGAAGGCGUGGGGAUCAAACAGGAUUAGAUACCCCCGUA